rnacentral:rRNA from 1 species
UACGAAGGGGGCGAGCGUUGUUCGGAAUCACUGGGCGUAAAGGGCGCGUAGGCGGCCCUCUUAGUCGCGUGUGAAAGCCCCGGGCUCAACCUGGGAACGGCGCGCGAAACGGGAGGGCUGGAGUUCGGGAGAGGAGAGUGGAAUUCCUGGUGUAGCGGUGAAAUGCGCAGAUAUCAGGAGGAACACCGGUGGCGAAGGCAGGCU